rnacentral:rRNA from 1 species
CCUACGGGUGGCAGCAGUGAGGAAUAUUGGUCAAUGGACGAGAGUCUGAACCAGCCAAGUAGCGUGAAGGAUGACUGCCCUAUGGGUUGUAAACUUCUUUUAUAUGGGAAUAAAAUGUUCCACGUGUGGGAUUUUGUAUGUACCAUAUGAAUAAGGAUCGGCUAACUCCGUGCCAGCAGCCGCGGUAAUACGGAGGAUCCGAGCGUUAUCCGGAUUUAUUGGGUUUAAAGGGAGCGUAGGUGGAUUGUUAAGUCAGUUGUGAAAGUUUGCGGCUCAACCGUAAAAUUGCAGUUGAAACUGGCAGUCUUGAGUACAGUAGAGGUGGGCGGAAUUCGUGGUGUAGCGGUGAAAUGCUUAGAUAUCACGAAGAACUCCGAUUGCGAAGGCAGUUCACUGGACUGCAACUGACACUGAGGCUCGAAAGCGUGGGUAUCAAACAGGAUUAGAUACCCGAGUAGUC